UACAGAGGGUGCGAGCGUUAAUCGGAAUUACUGGGCGUAAAGCGCGCGUAGGCGGCUUUUCAAGUCGAUUGUGAAAUCCCCGGGCUUAACCUAGGAAUUGCGCUUGAGACUGGAUAGCUUGGAGUGCGGCAGAGGGAGGUGGAAUUCCACGUGUAGCAGUGAAAUGCGUAGAGAUGCGGAGGAACACCGAUGGCGAAGGCAGCCCCCUGGGCUGACACUGACGCUCAGGCACGAAAGCGUGGGGAGCAAACAGG
rnacentral:rRNA from 1 species